rnacentral:rRNA from 1 species
GUGAACGCUGGCGGUAGGCCUAACACAUGCCAGUCGAACGGCAGCACAGUAAGAGCCUGCUCUUACGGGUGGCGAGUGGCGGACGGGUGAGGAAUACAUCGGAAUCUACUUUUUCGUGGGGGAUAACGUAGGGAAACUUACGCUAAUACCGCAUACGACCUACGGGUGAAAGCAGGGGAUCUUCGGACCUUGCGCGAUUGAAUGAGCCGAUGUCGGAUUAGCUAGUUGGCGGGGUAAAGGCCCACCAAGGCGACGAUCCGUAGCUGGUCUGAGAGGAUGAUCAGCCACACUGGAACUGAGACACGGUCCAGACUCCUACGGGAGGCAGCAGUGGGGAAUAUUGGACAAUGGGCGCAAGCCUGAUCCAGCCAUACCGCGUGGGUGAAGAAGGCCUUCGGGUUGUAAAGCCCUUUUGUUGGGAAAGAAAAGCAGCAGGUUAAUACCCCGCUGUUCUGACGGUACCCAAAGAAUAAGCACCGGCUAACUUCGUGC